GAAAACGAAGCUUGGACGUUCCAAUUUGCAGACGGAUUUUCAGUAAUACGCGAGUGCAAAUUAAAUUUAUAUCUGCACUAUAUACAAAGCAACAGAAAACGUCUGUUUAAUAUAACAAGUCUGCCAACUCUCGUAUGUUACAGCAAGCCGUCGCCGUGUUUUUAAUGCUAAAUAAAAACAACAGUAAAAAGUUGUGGAAGAGAAGUGGCGUCUAAUCUAUUGCACUUGUAUGUGUAUAUACUAUGUGUGUGAGCAAGCAAAUGCAUAUGUGUAUGCAUGUGCAUACUUGUGUACAUCAGACAGUAUGUAAUGUAGCUAAGUAAAUAAGGCCAGGCUAUAUAGUGAAAUUGUUGGCUUCCAACCCAAAACCCCAAAAAAAAUUGUGUACAAAAAAUUUGUUUAUAUUUGACGAACACAGACUGUGAAAAAAGCUGCAAUCUCGGCAAAGAGUGUCUGUCUGUCUGUAUGUAUACAAUGAGCACUUAAUUGGAUUAUUUUCAACUACAAAACAAAACAACAACAAAAAAAAAAGACUUCCAAAGCGCCGCGAGAGCUUCCCGCACAACUCAAAGGGGCACUUAUCACACCAAAUACUUCCUACGAUUGUGCCAAAAAAAAUCAUAAAAAAUAACAACACGCAACUGACGUCACAGAAAGUCUUUAGAAAUAACUGUCAAAUCUGUCUAUUUUUAGACAGAUGUAAAUAAUAUAUAUUGUGUCAACUUGUGUCUCAAAAAAGAAACAAAAAACUAAUACUACAAAUUUUAACGCCUAACUAAACGUGCACUCAUUUGUUUUGUUUUCUCUGUGUGUGCGUGCGUGUGUGUGUGUGUGUAUUUUGUGGCUAAUGCGGUUACGCUAGGCAACAAGGCUUAAGCUCUGAGACAACAACAACAACAUACUGCAAUAUAGCUGAUAAACAUGAGUCUAAAUCAACACAGCGGACCUGGCCCGCCAGAGAACAAUAGUAACAACACCAACAACACCGCCAACA